ACGGGAGGCAGCAGUGAGGAAUAUUGGUCAAUGGGCGGGAGCCUGAACCAGCCAAGUCGCGUGAAGGAUGAAGGUUCUAUGGAUUGUAAACUUCUUUUGUAUGAGGGUAAAGUGACUUACGUGUAAGUUAUUGCAAGUAUCAUACGAAUAAGCAUCGGCUAACUCCGUGCCAGCAGCCGCGGUAAUACGGAAGGUCCGGGCGUUAUCCGGAUUUAUUGGGUUUAAAGGGAGCGUAGGCCGUGCUUUAAGCGUGUUGUGAAAUGUAGGCGCCCAACGUCUGCACUGCAGCGCGAACUGGAGCACUUGAGUACGCAGGAAGUAGGCGGAAUUCGUCGUGUAGCGGUGAAAUGCUUAGAUAUGACGAAGAACUCCGAUUGGGAAGCCAGCUUACUGUAGCGCCACUGACGCUGAUGCUCGAAAGCGUGGGUAUCGAACAGGAUUAGAUACCCUGGUA
rnacentral:rRNA from 1 species